CCUACGGGGGGCAGCAGUCGAGAAUCAUUCACAAUGGGGGAAACCCUGAUGGUGCGACGCCGCGUGGGGGAAUGAAGGUCUUCGGAUUGUAAACCCCUGUCAUGUGGGCGCAAAUUAAAAAGAUAGUACCACAAGAGGAAGAGACGGCUAACUCUGUGCCAGCAGCCGCGGUAAUACAGAGGUCUCAAGCGUUGUUCGGAAUCACUGGGCGUAAAGCGAGCGUAGGCUGUUUCGUAAGUCGGGUGUGAAAGGCGCGGGCUCAACCCGCGGACGGCACAUGAUACUGCGAGACUAGAGUGAUGGAGGGGGAACCGGAAUUCUCGGUGUAGCAGUGAAAUGCGUAGAUAUCGGGAGGAACACUCGUGGCGAAGGCGGGUUCCUGGACAUUAACUGACGCUGAGGCACGAAGGCCAGGGGAGCGAAAGGGAUUAGAUACCCGAGUAGUC
rnacentral:rRNA from 1 species